CAGCCAUAUUAUGUUGAAACACGGGUUCCCAUAUGAUCACUGAAGUUAAGCAUUGUUGAGCUUGGUCAGUACCUAGAUGGUUGACCAUUUAGUA